GACGAACGCUGGCGGCGUGCUUAACACAUGCAAGUCGAACGGCAAGGCCUUUUUCGCGUGCUACUCGCGAGGGCAACGGGUGCGUGACACGUGAGUACCCUGCCCUUCUCCUUUCUAUACCUUCACGGAACUCUGGCUAAUACAGUAUAACAGCUCCUCCUCCUUAGUGCGGGUGUUCACAUUUUGGCGGGUGGUGAGGGAGUCGCGGGGUAUCAGUUCGUUUGGGUGGUAGUGGGUUUCCAAGGCUUUGUCGGGUUGCCGGCCUGGGAGGGUGACCGGCCACAUUGGGACUGAGAUACGGCCCAGAAGCCUACGGGAGGAAGCAGUGGGGAAUAUUGCACAAUGGGUGGAAGCCUGAUGCAAGAACGCCGGGUGCGGGAUGACGGCCUUUGGGUUGUAAACCGCUUUCGCUCAUUACGAAGCCUUGUGUGACGGUAGUGGGUAAAGAAGCACCGGCUAACUACGUG
rnacentral:rRNA from 1 species